GCGCUAAGAAUUCUCGAGAAAAGAUCCCCACCAUCGAGGUAGAAACUGGAAAGCACUCGAUUUUUUACAGAAACCUUGAAUUGCCAAUGAGUUCACAACUCUCUCAGGCCUUUCAACAUCCUUGCUCAUUACCAGCCUCCUUUUCCUCAUGUGCCCACGAUGGAACAGGAUGAUGGGAUCGUGGCCUUUUCAGCUUCCUUUCAAGACCUUCACUAUAAAUGCGGAAAUGGGAAGGCGUUCUUCUCAAGCAGUAUUCGAUCGGUCGAUAAUACAAAGAGAGAGAAGAGACCCGCAGUGCUUUGUUUAAUCUUGACUGCCAACUAAAUUUGAGGAGAGAAGGAGAAAUCCGUCUUGGUCUGUAGAAGAAAUGGUGGGAAUCUUCUCCAGGUUUUCUUCGGGAAGAGGAAGCCACCGAAGGACUAGAUCUUCUAUGGACGAGGUAGAGACUGUGCUCCCAGACUCCGAGAUCAAUUCUGAUGUUGCUUUGGUCAUACCCCAUGAAGUUGAAACAGUAGGUGAUUUUAAGCCAAUUGAACAUCCCACUGAACCACCUGAUAGUGAUCACCCAGUGACAUGUCCAGCUCCAGAGCCAUCAAUAUCAAAUGACGGGAAAAUGUGGAAAGAAAGGAUUGCUGGAAACUCACGGAGGCAAUCAGAUGUGUCUGUCCUCAAGGAUGAAGAAACACAAGGCCCACCUGAAAUUGCAGUUAUCAAGUAUGCUUCUCCUGCAUCUAUGCCUGUACGACUACCAGUAGGUGUUCCUGAUAAACAGAAACGUGAAACUUCUGAAGAAGUGUAAUUCCCACAGAAGAUGACAUCAAAAAAUCUUCGCAGGUUUUCUGCUAUGUGUGGCAGGAGUCCGGCGCAUGCUGUGCAUGGUAACAAUAAAGAACACUUCAAGUUGAAGAUGAAGAGUCUGAUAUUCCAGUCAAGUCUCGGAGGGUGUGAAAUCUGAGACUGAUAUGAAAUCUACAGCCCACUGUAAUCAAACAUUGGAUUUAUAAACCUAGAUUGAGGUGUGUUUGUUUUACAGCGGAUUUGAUAUAUGAGUGAUCUGAUCUGCAGCUUUGAGGUCGGACCCACCCCGUCAAAUCUGAUUUUUACAUGUAAUGUGGAUUUAAGAUUCAUUU